GGGUCAGUAGGUUGGUCGUGCCACCGGUACGUACUGGUCUCACUGAUUCCUCCUUCCUGGAGAACCUUAAUGCCAUUAAUUUGGUGUUGCGGGGAAACAGGACUGUUACUUUGAAAAAAUUAGAGUGUUUAAAGCAAGCUAACGCUUGAAUACAUUAGCAUGGAAUAAUGAAAUAGGACGAUCGAUCCUAUUUUGUUGGUUUCUAGGAUUGACGUA
rnacentral:rRNA from 1 species